UGAGUAACACGUGAGUGACCUGCCUUUUAGACUGGAACAACUUACCGAAAGGUGAGCUAAUGCCGGAUGAGUUAUAUAAGUGGCAUGUUUAUAUAGGAAAAGUUGGGGAGACCUGACGCUGAAAGAUGGACUCGCGUCCCAUUAGCUAGUUGGUAGGGUAAUGGCCUACCAAGGCGACGAUGGGUAGCCGGCCUGAGAGGGUGGCCGGCCACACUGGGACUGAGACACGGCCCAGACUCCUACGGAAGGCAGCAG
rnacentral:rRNA from 1 species